rnacentral:rRNA from 1 species
GACAGAGGGUGCAAACGUUGUCCGGAAUUACUGGGCGUAAAGCGCGUGUAGGCGGCUAAGUAAGUCGGGCGUGAAAUCCCACGGCUCAACCGUGGAAGUGCACUCGAAACUGCAUAGCUAGAGUCCUGGAGAGGAAGGUGGAAUGCUUGGUGUAGAGGUGAAAUUCGUAGAUAUCAAGCGGAACACCGGUGGCGAAGGCGGCCUUCUGGACAGUGACUGACGCUGAGACGCGAAAGCGUGGGGAGCAAACAGG